ensembl:lncRNA
GUCACAUUACUGCGUCCAGCUGUACUAAUUGUCAACAACAGGUGUGUUCGGGGAACCGGAUUAGCAAGCUCACGGUUAGCGCGAUGGUUUGGUCUUGGAUGUGUCAUUUGAUCUUGGAUGUAGUGAGCGACGUACGAAGAACGGGCCCCCGAGGGUGGCAUAGUUUGUGUCCUGUGUUGUUGAUGUUAUGUGAGUUCCAGGUGGAGGCUGACCAUUGGUGGAGGACUGGGAGAGGCCGUCUAUAAAUGAGGAUCCUUCUGAACUGGCAUGCCCCCCCGCUUACUUCCUGUUCCCAACAAACUGUGCAUGUGGCUGCGUAUGAAUCUGUGUUGUAAGUAGUUUUGUUGUAAAUAGUUGUUAAAUAGUUGUAAAUACUUUUACUCGGUAGCUGUAGGGGUGAGAAGCCAUUUUCUUUUGGAAAGUUUUCUCCUGUUUUUGGUUAGGAAGGCAGGUAAGAGACCUGUAUUUACUUUUGGGGUUUUUCAGUGUAGGUAAGCCAGUUGCAUUUCAUAUCUAGAGAGUUUUGUUUAUUGUUUUGGCCACGCUCACCCUGAUGCCUGUUACCUUUUGGGACUUAAUAAACUGACUGGAUAUUGUAAAUCUGUGGCAGUUUUUGGUUUUUCUUCCUUGAGAGCAAGGAGUGUGGGGACAUUUUCCUUUUUUUUUUUUUCUUCUUUUUUUUUUUUUUUUAAAGAUUUUCCUUGUGUUGCACACCAGUUUCCCCUGGGCUGGGGUGUAACACAACCUACUAGAACUUGCUGUCAUGCAGUCAUCUGUAGCCACAGCACAGGAGCUGCAAAGUUUAUCAAACUUUUUAUCAAACCCUUAUCAAAGUUGCAGUCAUGCUCAUUGUGUUUGGAUCAACAUACAGAUGUGAUUCAGGCUUUUCACAUUUGAACUCAAUAAAAAUCAGCUCCCAUUCAAUGCACAGAACAACAAAAUGGAUAAAUAACUUUUCUGACUAAUGUAAACAGGGUAACUGUAGCCUAAAUAUUAACAUUACUGGAUGUGUAUCAGGCCAUGCCUGACUUACAGGUAAAAUUAUGUUCCAUCAUGGUAUAAUGCAAUGAGUUUCUGCAGUGAUGGCUUUGAUAUGAUUGAAUCAUUAAUGUUGUGCACAUUCAGAUGUCAGAUAUGGGCAAAAUGUUUUUCACUGUUUUUAACUAUUACUGCUACUUCAGAUUCUGUUUAGUUACAACUCAUUUGUUAUUUUUAUGCACUUACUCUUGUGUAUGCUUUCAGAUGUGAUCAACUUUAAAAGUGAAGCAAUGAAUAAAUAUGAUUUUUUUUUCAUUAGUUCUUUUAUAUUGGUUUGAAGUUUAUAAUUACUUGUUGCUUACAGGCUGCUUCAAAUGUCUGGCCCAGGAACAU